AGGAUUGCUUGAGCCCUGGAGGUCGAGGCUGCAGUGAACUGUGAUCAUGCCACUGCACUCCAGCCUGAGUGACAGAGCAAGACC
rnacentral:miRNA from 1 species